CAGAAAUGUUCACGACAUCGUCUCACGUCUUGGCUUUGUAGCUUCACAACAAAGUCGGCCGCUGGAGUUCCUGUGAUCUUCAUGAUUUCUCUCAGCUGGUCCAGGUCUGACGUUAGCAAAGGUCAAGGGUCAAUCUGUACGAAGACCAAGGAUACGGUCGUUUCCCUUGAACAGCGGUUUUCCCAGCAGCAUCUCGGCCAUGAUGCAGCCCGCGGACCAGAUAUCCACUGUGAACAACACGGAACACACACACGUCAGCUACGCGUCUGGUGACACCUGCUGGUGAGGCUGGAGGAAGUGAAACUGCGGCUGUACCAGUCUGAGUGUAGUGCAUCCAGUUGAGGAUGACCUCUGGUGCCCUGUACCAGCGAGUCACAACGUAGCCGGUCAUUUCUGCGUCCGCCUGCCUCGCCAGGCCGAAGUCAAGGAUCUACAUCGGGGAGUAGACGAAAACAACAAACAACAAAAUAGGUCAAAGGUCACGCGGUCCUGGACGGACCCUCACCGUUCUGAUUGUAGUGCAUCCAGUUCAGCAUGAUCUCCGGCGCCCGGUACCAACGAGUCGCCACGUAGCCCGUCAUCUCAUCGUUGGUCUGCCGGGCCAGGCCGAAGUCCAGGAUCUGGAGGAGGGAGAGUACUGGGAGUACUGCGAUGGUCCUGGAAACAGGAGAAGAAGACAGAGUAGGACAAAAUACUACACAGGAAUACUACACAAGAAUACUACACGGGUAUUUCGGGAGUCUCCAACAGUUUUAACGUCAUUUCUUCGAGCUACGACGUAGUGUAAAAUUCUUACAAAUCAGCCAGACCUUGAACAUGUUGGCAGGAAACAGGAA